rnacentral:rRNA from 1 species
UUGACCUCGGAUCAGGUAGGGAUACCCGCUGAACUUAAGCAUAUCAAUAAGCGGAGGAAAAGAAACCAACAGGGAUUACCUCAGUAACGGCGAGUGAAGCGGUAACAGCUCAAAUUUGAAAGCUGCCAACAGGCCGCGUUGUAAUUUGUAGAAGCUGCUUUGGGUGUCGGCCCGGUCUAAGUUCCUUGGAACAGGACGUCAUAGAGGGUGAGAAUCCCGUAUGUGAUCGGUGCCGUUGCCCGUGUAAAGCGCUUUCGACGAGUUGAGUUGUUUGGGAAUGCAGCUCAAAAUGGGUGGUAAAUUUCAUCUAAAGCUAAAUAUUGGCCAGAGACCGAUAGCGCACAAGUAGAGUGAUCGAAAGAUGAAAAGCACUUUGGAAAGAGAGUUAAACAGUACGUGAAAUUGUUGAAAGGGAAGCGCUUGCAACCAGACUUGCGGGCGGUCGAUCAUCCGAGGUUCUCCCCGGUGCACUCGAUCGUUCUCAGGCCAGCAUCGGUUUCCGGGGUGGGAUAAAGGCGGUGGGAAUGUGGCUCUUCGGAGUGUUAUAGCCCA